CGUUCAGAGAUUGCCUCUGUCGUUAUCCACUCCAGUGGAUACGGGAAUGCAGUUGUUAA
rnacentral:sRNA from 12 species